UAAAAUGUAAUAAAGGAUGUUUAGGAUAAUGAUUAUCAAUUAAACCAGAAUAACUGCAUCUAAGAAUGGCCUAUUCAUCUAUAGUAGCACACAAGAUUUGCAUUUGUGCGGCAGUAUAGGGAACAAUUAUGCUAUCAGGCAUUUUUCCAAAGUGAGUAAUUGAAGUUUUUAUACCUUUGUGGGCCAUAUUUGCUACCAUGGUGGGGUAAUGCUCUAUAGUCUUAUUAGGGGAUAUAUGUGGAUGUAUCCAUACUAAAGGACCAUCUUACCAUAACACAGCAAUUGGCAAAUUUAUGGUUCUUAAUAUACAUAGGUACAAAGGUUCUUUCUCAUUUAUACGAUUUAACUGUGCUUUUUGGAUAGCUCUUUCCACCUUCCUAAGAACAUCAGAAGCCUCAGGUGUUAAUUGUCUCAAUGAGGUAAUAUGUGAUUCUCCUUCUAAAAUUUGAAAUAAAGGUUUUAAUUCCGAAGUAGGGAUCCUUAAAUAAGGUCUAAUCCAAUUUAUAUCUCCUAAUAAUUUUUGAAAAUCAUUUAGUGUCUUUAGAUGAUUUUCUCUUAUACUAAUCUUUUGUGGGGUGACAUACCAUAAAGUAAUAGUGGCUCCUAAGAAAUGACUAACAUUUGACUGCUGUACUUUUUCUGGUGCAAUAACCAAGCCAUUAUUUUUUAAAGUUUCAUUAAGCAAGCCAUAAGCUUGCUGUAUACUUUCUUCUUCAGGUCCACUAAUCACAAUAUCGUUCAUAUAAUGACAAAUUUUUAAGGAGAGGAAAUCAUCCCGAACCAGUAGCAAAGCUUUUCCUACAUAUAACUGACAUAUAGUAUGGCUAUUUGCCAUUCCUUGGGGUAAUACCCGCCAUUGAUACAUUUUAUCAGGCUCCAUAUGAUUAAUAGAAGGCAAGGUAAAUGCAAACCCAAGUUUAUCUUUCUUAUUUAAUGGAAUGGAAAAGAAACAAUCCUUAAUA
rnacentral:lncRNA from 1 species